CGGGGAGGGAGGGACAGGCAGGCAGUUGCUUUCUGAGUCAUUCUGUCGUCUCUCCUAGAGCUACGUCCUACUGCAGGGAACGUGAGGCCCACCUGCUCUCAGGUCCCCCUCCUUAGAGGCACCGGACCAACAGACUGCCUCAGUGCUGCUGGGAAGAUCAGCCAGCCAUCUCCUUCCAUCAUCCUCCUGGUUCCCGACCAGGGAUUGAACCUGUGCCCCCUGAAGUG